rnacentral:tRNA from 1 species
GAGGCGUAGCUCAGUGGUAGAGUCUGUGCUCGGCAUGUGUGAGGCCCUGGGUUCCAUCCCCAGCACCCA